UGGUCAAGUUAUUAAGGGUGCAGGGCGGAUGCCUUGGCACUAGGAGCCGAUGAAGGACGUGAUAAGCUGCGAUAAGCUUCGGGGAGUUGCACGUAAACUUUGAUCCGAAGAUUUCCGAAUGAGGAAACUCACUUAGAGUAAUGUCUAAGUAUCAUUAAGUGAAUACAUAGCUUAAUGAGGGGAACUCAGGGAACUGAAACAUCUAAGUACCUGAAGGAAGAGAAAGAAAUUCGAUUCCGUAAGUAGCGGCGAGCGAACGCGGAUUAGCCCAAACCAAUAAAGUUUUCUUUAUUGGGGUUGCGGACAUAUCAUAACGAAGAGGUAUCGUAAUUGAAGAGGUUUGGAAAGACCCACCACAGAAGGUAAUAGUCCUGUAUGUUAAACGAGAAGACUUCAGAUAUGAUCCAGAGUACCACGGGACACGUGAAACCCUGUGGGAAGCAGGAGGGACC
rnacentral:rRNA from 1 species